GUAUUCUCUCAUUGUCCUCCAUACUAUAGUAUGGAGGACAAUGAGAGAAUUAGGUGGUUUAUAAGGUGUAGCUAUUUCAGUGAUCACUUACACCACAAUAAAGAAAGAAGGAUUUUAUAAAAGGAAUUGAAGAGAAGAUCCUUUCUACUACUGCAAAAUCUAACUGGAAAUGCACCAGAAAAAGAGACGCACAACCAAAAAGACGCAAAACAGCAAAAAGAAGCACAGCAGCAAAAGGGUGGGGCUGGUUACUGCAGUAAAACAAGGCGUGUACACCCAAACUCAGCAUAAAGACCCACUCAGACACACAAGAGGUGAAGGAUACUGUUAUUAAUGGA